AAAAUCAGACUUAAAGCCUUAGAGGUUUUCGAAUUAAUUUGAGUUGAAUUUGUGACCUUAGGGGCUGGUUUAGAAGGUGUUUCAACCUGGGCGAGGUUGCGAUUGACCUUCGGAUUAUCUCCGGCUAAUAUGUGAGAGCUUUUGGGGGCUAAACUUGAG